UACAGAGGGUGCUAGCGUUGUUCGGAAUUACUGGGCGUAAAGGGCGCGUAGGCGGCUUGUUUAGUCGGGUGUGAAAUCCCGGGGCUCAACCCCGGAACUGCAUUCGAUACUGGCAGGCUAGAGACCGGAAGAGGUGGGUGGAAUACCCAGUGUAGAGGUGAAAUUCGUAGAUAUUGGGUGGAACACCGGUGGCGAAGGCGGGUCUCUGGGUAGUAACUGACGCUGAGGAACGAAAGCGUGGGUAGCGAACAGG
rnacentral:rRNA from 1 species